UCUCGGCAAAUUAUCCUCAUAAGUUUGACAAUAAGAGAAACCAUAUAAAAAUUUAAAUUAACCAUAAUUUUUAUUCUUUAUAUGGUAUAAUAAAAUCGGAGGCCACGACUGUUUACUAAAAACACAAUUCAGAGCAAUGAUUAAGAUAAUAGUAUUCUGAAUGAAAUUUGCUCAAUGCCAUUAAUAUAAAAGAGGUAAUUUUAAAGUUACUAAUUGAAAGUCUGGUUAAUAGCGGUCUUAACUAUGAGGAUCCUAAGGUAGCAAAAUAAAUUGGCCAUUAAAUGUGGUCUAGUAUCAAUAAUGUAACGAUGGUCUCACUGUCUCUACAACUUGCUCAGUGAAAUUGAAUUGCGAGUGCAGAUGCUCGCUAUCUUCAGAGGGACGGGAAGACCCUAUGCAGCUUCUACUGA
rnacentral:rRNA from 1 species